AUGCGUGUCAACUCGGAGCAACGUUGGGUUGCAUACAAAGAGACGGUGGCCGAAUCACUAGACAAGGCUCUUGAGUUAUUUGCAACGAAGAAGGUUGAUUCAAGUUUGCAUUUGGACUUGAACCGGAACCCCUCCCCUUUAGUUGCUAGUAGCCCCCCACCCUUGAACCAAGAUGAAAUUGUUGAACCUCUUUUGACACAACAAGUGAGGCCAACAUUGAGCCCGUUUCCAAACAACCAAAAUGAGGCUUUGCAAGAGGAGAAUGAUGAGUAUGCAGACGAUGACAAUGAAGUUGAUCCCCAUGAUAGCAAUUUGGGUGAUCUCGACAAAUAUCAUUUGCAAGAGACACUGGACCAUUCCAUCCCUUAUUCUCGUGGCUACGCAUCGGAUUCGGAUGACGAAGGUCCCGGUGAACAAGUUGAUGAGGAGGAGUUCACGAUGGAGGCCGAAGCUUUCGAGAAGGUAUUCGGGCGGGAUCAUCGGACUACAUUGUUCAAGGAUGUUAGUCUCACGGAUGAAGCUGUGGUAGAUGGUGGCCAAGGUAUAUCUCUUGGGGUUACGCCAAGAUCUCAC
rnacentral:rRNA from 1 species